rnacentral:rRNA from 1 species
CCUACGGGGGGCUGCAGUGGGGAAUUUUGCGCAAUGGGCGAAAGCCUGACGCAGCAACGCCGCGUGGGUGAUGAAGGUCUUCGGAUCGUAAAACCCUGUCGUUGGGGACGAAGGUGGGGGCGUUAAUAGCGUUUCUGCUUGACGGUACCCGGAGAGGAAGCCCCGGCUAACUCUGUGCUAGCAGCCGCGGUAAUACAGAGGGGGCAAGCGUUAUUCGGAGUUCUUGGGCGUGAUUUGCGCAUACGCGGGUUGAAUCCCCGAGAUCAACUUGGGAACUGCAUCUGAGACUGGAAGGCUAGAGUACUGGAGAGGGUGGUGGAAUUCCUCGUGUAGCGGUGAAAUGCGUAGAGAUGAGGAGGAACACCAGUGGCGAAGGCGGCCACCUGGACAGUAACUGACGCUGAGGCGCGAAAGUGUGGGUAGCAAACAGGAUUAGAUACCCUAGUAGUC